rnacentral:rRNA from 1 species
CAGUCGCCGCGGUAAUACGAAGGGGGCUAGCGUUGUUCGGAAUUACUGGGCGUAAAGCGCACGUAGGCGGAUAUUUAAGUCAGGGGUGAAAUCCCAGAGCUCAACUCUGGAACUGCCUUUGAUACUGGGUAUCUUGAGUAUGGAAGAGGUUAGUGGAAUUGCGAGUGUAGAGGUGAAAUUCGUAGAUAUUCGCAGGAACACCAGUGGCGAAGGCGGCUAACUGGUCCAUAACUGACGCUGAGGUGCGAAAGCGUGGGGAGCAAACAGGAUUAGAUACCCCGGUAGUCCCUGUCUCUUAUAC